rnacentral:rRNA from 1 species
UUCGGUAAUGACGUUGGGAAAGCGCGUGGCGGAUGGGUGAGUAACACGUGGGGAACCUGCCCCCUAAGUCUGGGAUACCAUUUGGAAACAGGUGCUAAUACCGGAUAAUAAAGCGGAUCGCAUGAUCAGCUUUUGAAAGGUGGCGUAAGCUGUCGCUAAGGGAUGGCCCCGCGGUGCAUUAGCUAGUUGGUAAGGUAACGGCUUACCAAGGCGACGAUGCAUAGCCGAGUUGAGAGACUGAUCGGCCACAUUGGGACUGAGACACGGCCCAAACUCCUAUGGGAGGCAGCAGUAGGGAAUCUUCCACAAUGGACGCAAGUCUGAUGGAGCAACGCCGCGUGAGUGAAGAAGGUUUUCGGAUCGUAAAGCUCUGUUGUUGGUGAAGAAGGAUAGAGGUAGUAACUGGCCUUUAUUUGACGGUAAUCAACCAGAAAGUCACGGCUAACUACGUGCCAGCAGCCGCGGUAAUACGUAGGUGGCAAGCGUUGUCCGGAUUUAUUGGGCGUAAAGCGAGCGCAGGCGGAAAAAUAAGUCUAAUGUGAAAGCCCUCGGCUUAACCGAGGAACUGCAUCGGAAACUGUUUUUCUUGAGUGCAGAAGAGGAGAGUGGAACUCCAUGUGUAGCGGUGGAAUGCGUAGAUAUAUGGAAGAACACCAGUGGCGAAGGCGGCUCUCUGGUCUGCAACUGACGCUGAGGCUCGAAAGCAUGGGUAGCGAACAGGAUUAGAUACCCUGGUAGUCCAUGCCGUANACGAUGAGUGCUAAGUGUUGGGAGGUUUCCGCCUCUCAGUGC